AACGAACGCUGGCGGCAUGCCUAACACAUGCAAGUCGAACGAGACCUUCGGGUCUAGUGGCGCACGGGUGCGUAACGCGUGGGAACCUGCCCUUAGGUUCGGAAUAACUCCCCGAAAGGGGUGCUAAUACCGGAUAAUGUCUUCGGACCAAAGAUUUAUGGCCUUUGGAUGGGCCCGCGUUGGAUUAGCGAGUUGGUAGGGUAAAAGCCUACUAAGGCGACGAUCCAUAGCUGGUCUGAGAGGAUGAUCAGCCACACUGGGACUGAGACACGGCCCAGACUCCUACGGGAGGCAGCAGUGGGGAAUAUUGGACAAUGGGCGAAAGCCUGAUCCAGCAAUGCCGCGUGAGUGAUGAAGGCCUUAGGGUUGUAAAGCUCUUUUACCCGGGAUGAUAAUGACAGUACCGGGAGAAUAAGCACCGGCUAACUCCGUG
rnacentral:rRNA from 1 species